ACAGAAGCGCUGCACUAUGGAGAGAAGCCUUUCAGCCAUGGUCGUGCGGAAGGACAAGAAUCCAUGCAGCAGCCCCAGGUCACCCUGAAGGGCCUCUGCUGUGAGUG